rnacentral:rRNA from 1 species
GACGUAGGAUGCGAGCGUUGUCCGGAAUCAUUGGGCGUAAAGAGUUCGUAGGCGGCAUGUUAAGUCUGGUGUUAAAGCCCGAGGCUCAACCUCGGUUCGGCACUGGAUACUGACAAGCUAGAGUGUAGUAGAGGCAAGGGGAAUUCCCAGUGUAGCGGUGAAAUGCGUAGAUAUUGGGAGGAACACCAGUGGCGUAAGCGCCUUGCUGGGCUAUAACUGACGCUGAGGAACGAAAGCCAGGGGAGCAAAUGGG